AGUGAACGCUGGCGGCAGGCCUAACACAUGCAAGUCGAGCGGCAGCGCGGGGGCAACCCUGGCGGCGAGCGGCGGACGGGUGAGGAAUUCGUCGGAAUCUGCCUUUUUGUGGGGGAUAACGUAGGGAAACUUACGCUAAUACCGCAUACGUCCUACGGGUGAAAGUGGGGGACCGCAAGGCCUCACGCAGAAAGAUGAGCCGACGACCGAUUAGCUAGUUGGUGGGGUAAAGGCCCACCAAGGCGACGAUCGGUAGCUGGUCUGAGAGGAUGAUCAGCCACACUGGGACUGAGACACGGCCCAGACUCCUACGGGAGGCAGCAGUGGGGAAUAUUGGACAAUGGGCGCAAGCCUGAUCCAGCCAUGCCGCGUGUGUGAAGAAGGCCUUCGGGUUGUAAAGCACUUUUGUCCGGAAAGAAAUCCCUGGAGCUAAUACCUUCGGGGGAUGACGGUACCGGAAGAAUAAGCACCGGCUAACUUCGUG
rnacentral:rRNA from 1 species